UACUAUUUAGACUUUAAAUUUGUAUCAUUAUUUACGGCAGCUUCCAACAACUUAAAUCAUAUAUUUAAAUUCAAUCCCGUUAAAUCAGCAAUUCUUAUUCCUUGAGUUAGAUAAGCAUCCCCGUUACAAUUUCAAAAUCUCAUAUACUCCUGUGGAUCUCUUCUCCUUUUCUCGCGCUAAAGUCCGAUCUCCAUCUCUACUCUUCAAAGCUACAAAAUAAACAUCUCUCAGCUUCACCCUCUUUUAAAAUAACAAUUUUUCUCACAUCUUUCGUCCCCCCUUCUCCCAUGUCACUCCAUUUUCUUUCCUAUAAUUGAAACACCAAGGAUGGAUGACCUCACCGAUUUCUUUAUUUUUAUUUUUUUAUUUUGAUUUAUGGAUCGAAACAUCAUGUAAAUAGUUUGAUUUUCGUGUGUGUUUUUUAUGGUGUUUAGACGAUGUAUCAUGUGUUCGAUUUUUUUUUUGUCAAUCUUCUAUUUUUGCUUCUUAAUUUAUUGAGUUUGAGAUUGAAGUAAGCGAUCUCCAAAUGUUUGGUUUAACUGAGUCGCUGAUGUUUUCCAUAAAUACAAGGUAAUAGCUCCUCUUCCCCAUUACUUAUGUGAUUUCCUUUACUUCAUCAGAUUUCCGACUCUAUUUUUGUUGGUUCUAUGAACUAAAAUCAAACUAAAGUUUUUACUUUGAUCUUGAACCAAUCCUCACCAGAAUUGGAAGGGAUUAUUCCCGCACCCGACGGACUCAUCAUAUAGAUUUCGUGUCUUUGUUGGUUCGCAUCCGAUAAAGAGUUCAUUUGUAAAAUCAAAUCGCGUCUCAUGAAAUCAAGUUGCUUUUUUAUGUAGCAACAAGCAAUUGAUGUAGUAGUAAUUGGUGCUUAAUGGUAUGCAUAAUAGGUGUUUGAUAAAAUGCCCGGUAGAAAUGAUUAUGAAUGUUCCAAGAAAAAUUGUUUUCUUCUAAGCUGUAGAUUCCAAGGUGUUGGGAUUCGGGUGGAGAUGUAAGUUGUACUUUGAAACAUUUGAAAAAUAACCCCCAAUAAAAGCAGAAAACUUGAAGCAAGAAUUAAUGAUGACUGCUGAUACUUUCACUUUAAAAUGGAUAUGCGACCUACUUUUUCUCUCCCCACUCUUUCUAAUCUUGAUAUUAUUAUAAUGUAUGGUGGGUUUAUGAUCAUUAAUCCAUUAGUGGGAAAGGUUGGUAUUUAAUUAAUUGAUAAAAUGAAAUUUGAUAUUGCAUUUGAUAACAGGGGGUGUAAUGUGAAUAAUACUUGGUUGAAAACUAAUAUGGAGUGUUUAUAGUGCUACGUUUUUUUAGCUAAUGGUAGCUCUUCUGUAAUCCAGGUGUAGAUCAAGCUCAAGAACAAAGUGAGUUAUUUGCAUGUUUGACUAACAUUUAAAUAGUGGCAGGUUUUGCAUCUGAUUUUUAUCAAUAGAGCAUAUUCUGGUAAAUUUGGUUAAAUUCAUCACUAACAUACUUAAAAUAUUUGAUGCAUGAUGAGUUUUUGGUUCUCAAUGACUUUAAAUCUUAUGUAUUUCCUCCGUGUAUUGGAAUGUAAAACAAUUAAUAAGUUUUUAUACUGAUUCUUUUUUUUUUGGUUGGGUUUCUGAGAAUCAGAUCAUAUUUUGUAGUUGUAAACCUUUUAAUAUGAGAUUGAUUAAAAGGUGCAUCCGUGCAUGAACUUGUUAAGUGCUUUAUUUUCAGAUGAGAUAGCAUUGAAGCUGAUUAUCUGAGUCUGCAAAAUUAUGGCAACAGAAAGGUUUAUUAGAUAGGCUAUAAAAUGAAUUAUGAGUGUCUACAGAGGCAAUUUGAAGUUGCACGUACUUCAUAAACUCAAAGGCAUGUUUAUUUACAUUUUUAUCUUUUAUGGCCACACAUUUAGUUAUGUUUAGAUGAUAUUGCUUUGUUUAAGAUGAUUCUACUUUGUUUUAUAAAAAGUUUGUUUAGAUACAGAUCAGUGGAAUGUUGGUUUAUUAGCAACAAUAAUAGAGCAAACAUGAUUUCUUUAUUUUUCUUUGCACAAUUCAUAUUUCAUUUAAACAGGGGUAUUUUGGUCUUUUAACAAAUAAGAAAAGUAAUGGAAUUUAUAUCCUUUCAAGUGUUAUAUUGUGGUUUUUAAUUUUUAUACCUGCAUGUUAUAUCAGGUUCAUAUUGAGGCGGAAAGAAAGUUAAUAUCGUUGCCUAUGGAUGCAAGCAUGCUGUCAGUCUCUUUAAUUUCUAUAUUAUUUAAAUUUGUCAACCAAUGUAGUGCAUAUGUAAUUAUUGUAGAAAUUCAAGACUAAGAGCAGGGCCCGGCUCUACAUCAUGAAAAAUUAAGCAAGGGCUUAGGGCCCCUAAUUCUAAAGGGCCCCAAUUUCAAA